AUGGAUAAAAAUAAACUAAAUGAGUUUAUAUAUCUGCUGGUUAAAUUAAAAUAUACAGAUAUGUAAUAGACAUUGGUAAUAAUACAGUAAUGAAAGCUUCUUAUGGAAGAUAAGAAUGAAGAAUACAUCAAGAAAAAUGGAAAGAAAUGAGAUUCUCUUUAGGGAAGAAGUUAACUUGAGCAGAAUUUCAUAAGAAAACCUCACCAAUUGUACUCUUCUCUGCUUUCUGUGUACCAAAAAAGAGUAAAGCUGGAGCAACAAGAUUGGAGGAAUUCUGUUGAAACAACAUAUCCGCUGCUUUUAAAUAUUUCCUUUAAAUUAGUACAACUACUUCUUCAGAAAAUUAAACUAUUAUGCUGUAUCAUUGUAAUGGUCCUUCUAUACUGUUAGAUAUGUAUUAUUGUUAUGACGAGAUGCAGUGGUAAAAGAGGUACGCCCAAGUUAUUGGAAAUAUGAACAUCCGGAUACAUCAGAAGAAAAAUUGUAUGGAAAAAUCAAGGAGCGAUCCAAGGACUUAUGCUAUUUGGGCUGUAUGCUGUAUAUGUCUAACAAUAAAUUUAUAAUGUAU